UCUCCGUUGGUGAACCAGCGGAGGGAUCAUUACAGAGUUUACAACUCCCAAACCCAAUGUGAACCAUACCAAACUGUUGCCUCGGCGGGGUCACGCCCCGGGUGCGUCGCAGCCCCGGAACCAGGCGCCCGCCGGAGGGACCAACCAAACUCUUUCUGUAGUCCCCUCGCGGACGUUAUUUUUACAGCUCUGAGCAAAAAUUCAAAAUGAAUCAAAACUUUCAACAACGGAUCUCUUGGUUCUG
rnacentral:misc_RNA from 1 species